GUUCACCUACGGGAGGCAGCAGUGGGGAAUAUUGCACAAUGGGGGGAACCCUGAUGCAGCGACGCCGCGUGAGUGAAGAAGUAUUUCGGUAUGUAAAGCUCUAUCAGCAGGGAAGAUAAUGACGGUACCUGACUAAGAAGCCCCGGCUAACUACGUGCCAGCAGCCGCGUUAAUACGUAGGGGGCAAGCGUUAUCCGGAUUUACUGGGUGUAACGGGGGCGAAGGUGGCAGGGCAAGUCAGAUGUGAAAGCCUAGUGCCCAACCCCGGUACUGCAUUUGAAACUGUC
rnacentral:rRNA from 1 species